rnacentral:lncRNA from 1 species
UGGGUGCUGUGUACUUGACAGUGGUACAUGACAAGGUAGGGUCCCCUAAGCCCCUCCCCCUUCUUUAAGGAGUCUGGGAUGGAAACCGUGCGGAGGUCAGGAAAUUCUCAGUGUGUUGGGGGAUGAGUUGGGGGCAGGACUCCCUAGCAGCAGAGGGCCUCUCUCUUCCUCUUGUGCCCUUGCUGGGACUCGUGGUCCAGGGGGCUCUUACCCUUUGGAGGCCAUGUGGACCAUAAGAUCUACCACUCAGUUGCUGUGGUCAAAUUCAUUGUCAUACCAGGAAAGGAGCUUGACACAGUGGUCCUUGAGAGCAAUGCCAGCCCCAGCAUCAAAGGUGGAAGAGUGGGUGUUACUGUUAAAGUCAUAGGAGACAACCUGGUCCUCACUGGAGCCCUGGAUGCCCUUGAGGGGGCCCCCCAAUGGCCUGCUUCACCACCUUCUUGAUGUCAUUGUAUUUGGCAGCUUUCUCCAGGUGGCA